UGCAGUCUGCUGUCUGCGUCGGACUUCUACAUCGCUGGACCACCGAAAUGUUUUCCAAGGGCAACCAUUCUACGCUUUCCUGGAAUUUGCUGGAACAUUUUGGAGCAAUUGAAAGCCAAAACUGGAGUUAAAAACACAUCUGAAAAUCACUGGAAAGCAUAAUGUAUGGCUUUUAAGAGCAGCAACGUAAAGCUGAAGCCUCCUAUGUCCUUUGUUAUGAGCUGCACUGUCCACGAAAUGGCUGCCGGUCAACAUCAUGGCAACUAUGAGUAAAGGUUAGAUAUAUAAAUUUAAUGUCCUCGAAAGUAUUGUCAUAAAAUCAAUGAUACGCCUGGAACGCCACGCCACGCCACGCCCGCCACCCAACGAAUGAGUCGCGCGAAUGCUGUUAAUUUUUAUUUGAACCUUUUGUUUAGUCUAUUAAAAUGACAUUCUGCGGUUGUUGUUGCCUGUCAGCAGCAGCAGCAGCACAACCACCCACCCACCGCCCUUACCCAACUCAAAAAACACCAGCAAAGAUGACAGAAAGAGAAGGAGAGUGUGAGAAGGACAGGGACAGGGAGAGGGACUGGCGCUUUGGGGGCUCACACAAAUGAAGUCAUUAAACAGCAGCACCCGCACAUUCGCACAUCCGCACAGUGUGUGUGUGUGUGUGUGUGUGUGUGUGUGUGGUAGAGCGGUGUGGCGGGGAGCACAUGUGGGCACAUGUGGCGUAUGUGUGAUGUGUGAUUUUUGAUGUUUGCUUAAACUCUUUAUUUUCAAUUAAAAAUUCUCUGGCGGCAUAAACAUGAGCCAUCAAGUCGGUAGGAUGUCACUUCUGUAUAUCCCUCGGAAAACGUACAUAAAGCGGCAUUAGGGCAUGGUGCCGCCGCCCCAUACCCCACACCCAUGCGCGUGUGUAUGAAUGUGUGUGUGUUUGCUUUUUAAUGAAAUCGCGUCUAGACGACGACGGCAACGCCAUUGACAUCACUUAAUGGACAAAUAACAGUGCCCAAAAAAAAACAAAAAUGGAAAAUAAAGAGGAUUUAUGUGUAGGAGUAUAUAUGUACAUAUGUAUGUAUUUAAAUAGAUACUAAAUAUAUAUGGCAACGGAAAGUUGUGCUUGCUCAUGAGUAGA